rnacentral:rRNA from 1 species
CAGUCGCCGCGGGAACACGUAGGGUGCAAGCGUUAAUCGGAAUUACUGGGCGUAAAGCGUGCGCAGGCGGUUAUAUAAGACAGAUGUGAAAUCCCCGGGCUCAACCUGGGAACUGCAUUUGUGACUGUAUAGCUAGAGUACGGCAGAGGGGGAUGGAAUUCCGCGUGUAGCAGUGAAAUGCGUAGAUAUGCGGAGGAACACCGAUGGCGAAGGCAAUCCCCUGGGCCUGUACUGACGCUCAUGCACGAAAGCGUGGGGAGCAAACAGGAUUAGAUACCCCUGUAGUCCCUGUCUCUUAUAC